rnacentral:tRNA from 2 species
GGGGGUAUAGCUCAGCUGGGAGAGCGCGGGCUUUGCAAGCCUGAGGCCAGGGGUUCGAGCCCCCUUACCUCCACCA